CUAGCGACUUCAGAGUUUGAUCCUGGCUCAGGAUGAACGCUGGCGGCGUGCUUAACACAUGCAAGUCGAACGGACGAUUUUUGAUUGCUUGCAAUUUUAAAUUGUUAGUGGCGGACGGGUGAGUAACGCGUGGGUAACCUGCCUCAUACAGGGGGAUAACAGUCAGAAAUGACUGCUAAUACCGCAUAAGCGCACAGCAUCGCAUGAUGCAGUGUGAAAAACUCCGGUGGUAUGAGAUGGACCCGCGUUGGAUUAGCUAGUUGGCAGGGUAGAGGCCUACCAAGGCGACGAUCCAUAGCCGGCCUGAGAGGGUGAACGGCCACAUUGGGACUGAGACACGGCCCAG
rnacentral:rRNA from 1 species